rnacentral:rRNA from 1 species
GACGAACGCUGGCGGCGUGCUUAACACAUGCAAGUCGAACGGAAAGGCGCUGAUUUUGUUGCUCGCUCGUGUGCCGAAGGCGGGUGUAAAACGCGUGUAACCUGCACUUGUCUGUCUGAUAACUCUAGGGGACUCGGGCGAAUACCGCAUAGAAGCUAUUGCUGCAUGGGGGGGGAUGGAGAGUGUCGGCGGUAGUGGAUGGACUCGCGGCUUAUCAGCUUGUUGGGGGGGUAGUGGCUUACCAAGGCUUUGACGGGUAGCCGGCCUGAGAGGGUGACCGGCGACAUUGGGACUGAGAUACGGCCCAGAAUCCUACGGGAGGCAGCAGUGGGGAAUAUUGCACAAUGGGCGGAAGCGUGAUGCAGCAACGCCGCGUGCGGGAUGACGGCCUUCGGGUUGUAAACCGAUUUCGCCUGUGACGAAGCGUGAGUGACGGUAAUGGGUAAAGAAGCACCGGCUAACUACGUG